CCUACGGGAGGCAGCAGUGAGGAAUAUUGGUCAAUGGGCGCAAGCCUGAACCAGCCAAGUAGCGUGAAGGAUGACUGCCCUACGGGUUGUAACCUUCUUUUAUAAAGGCAUAAAGUGAGGCACGUGUGCCUUUUUGUAUGUACUUUAUGAAUAAAGAUCGGCUAACUCCGUGCCAGCAGCCGCGGUCAUACGGAGGAUACGAGCGUUUGCCGGAUUUUGUGGGUUUAACGGGAGCGUAGAGGGGUUGUUAAGUCAGUUGUUAAAUUUUGCGGCUCAACCGUAAAAUUGCAAUUGAUACUGGCAGUUUUGAGUACAGUGGAGGUAGGCGGAAUUCGUGGGGUAGGGGUGAAAUGCUUAGAUAUCACGAAGAACUCCGAUUGCGAAGG
rnacentral:rRNA from 1 species